UUUAACUUCAUUACCGAAAGACUGACUAAAGGGAGGGCGGGAAAAAGAGAACACCGGUGUGACGAACAGCGACGACACCCAAUGAGCUUCCAGAUCUAACCAUUAACGUGCUACGUCAUUCAUAGGUAGCCAAUGAUUUUGCAGGAAGGUGGAUUCCGUUUGGUUGGUCAGGUUUGUCCGAGUUCACCGAGGCCCAAUCCCUGGUGUCGCGAAACGACAUUUGCUGACUAAAGUAACACGGGGACCGGGGCAUCGGCGCUCACGUUUCCCUCGCCCAUGUUUUACCGUUCUGCCUUUCCGUAAGAGAAUUGCUGCCCAGACAGAAAAACUCUCACAGACCAACUGACCAUUAUUACUGACGCACCACCAGAUAAACUCUGAAGCGCUCUGGACAGCUAACACAGAAGAAUGAAAAAAAAAAGGAGGAAGAGGGAGAAAACGGCGAGGAAAAGAAUCGGACCAAAGAAAACGCCCGAAAGUUUUCAAAGUUUGGGAUCAUUUUUAACUAAAAGAAAACACCGUACAAUGCGGAUACCGUUCAGUCAUUUGAAGUUGAUGUUUAUAUGUUUAUUCAUAUACAGUGCUUUUAAAAAGUCCCUCCUCAGCGGCUGUGUAGAGCAGGUAGUGGAGCACGUUUUUAAAGCCGGCGAUAAAAACACUGAUUUAAUUUUCCGGAGACGAGAAACCACAUUACGAUACUGUGCGAGAUUUAAUAAAUAAAUAUCAGUAAGAAUAAUGAUGAGUUUCAUUAAACAAAUAUUUUCCCAUAACUUACCACAGUGGAGGGACUUUUUAAACGGAACUGCAUUUGUAUUUUGAUGUAAUUGGCAAUUAAAUGCACUAAAUGGGUUUAGUUUUCAGAUUCUUGUGUGCAAUUUAGCAAUAAAAAUUUACAUUUUUCGAAAAAGAAAAACAUUGCUUAUUCGUUUUAAAAGACACGUCUGUUAUCUCCUCUCUCUUAUUUAGUAUUGCUCUUUAAUAAAGAAAAAAGUACUUUUACGAUUACUCGAUUAAUCGUUGGAUACUCCAUUACUAUUAUUAAAAUAAUUGAUAGCAGCAGCUCUAAAUAGAAUAUGAGCUCUACAAACAGGACGUGUGGUUAAAAAAGGUACCACAGUUGAUUAAACUGCAAAA